rnacentral:rRNA from 1 species
AGCAACGCCGCGUGAGUGAUGAAGGUUUUCGGAUCGUAAAGCUCUGUUGUUAGGGAAGAACAAGUGCAAGAGUAACUGCUUGCACCUUGACGGUACCUAACCAGAAAGCCACGGCUAACUACGUGCCAGCAGCCGCGGUAAUACGUAGGUGGCAAGCGUUGUCCGGAAUUAUUGGGCGUAAAGGGCUCGCAGGCGGUUUCUUAAGUCUGAUGUGAAAGCCCCCGGCUAACCGGGGAGGGUCAUUGGAAACUGGGAAACUUGAGUGCAGAAGAGGAGAGUGGAAUUCCACGUGUAGCGGUGAAAUGCGUAGAGAUGUGGAGGAACACCAGUGGCGAAGGCGACUCUCUGGUCUGUAACUGACGCUGAGGAGCGAAAGCGUGGGGAGCGAACAGGAUUAGAUACCCUGGUAGUCCACGCCGUAAACGAUGAGUGCUAAGUGUUAGGGGGUUUCCGCCCCUUAGUGCUGCAGCUAACGCAUUAAGCACCCGCCUGGGGAGUACGGUCGCAAGACUGAAACUCAAAGGAAUUGACGGGGGCCCGCACAAGCGGUGGAGCAUGUGGUUUAAUUCGAAGCAACGCGAAGAACCUUACCAGGUCUUGACAUCCUCUGACAACCCUAGAGAUAGGGCUUUCCCUUCGGGGACAGAGUGACAGGUGGUGCAUGGUUGUCGUCAGCUCGUGUCGUGAGAUGUUGGGUUAAGUCCCGCAACGAGCGCAACCC